UCCCCACCUCCCGGAGCGGGGAGCUGCUGACCCUUGACCUUGCUCAUCUCCUGGGCUGAGGGCACACCGGGACCAAUGACCCAUAGCAUGGGCACCAUCCCGUCCUACCCUCGGAUCGCCAGGCGGGAAAGACCUGGAGGAGGUCCUGGAUGGUCCUCUAGUGGCCCCUCUGCCUUCUGCNNNNNNNNNNNNNNNNNNNNNNNNNNNNNNNNNNNNNNNNNNNNNNNNNNNNNNNNNNNNNNNNNNNNNNNNNNNNNNNNNNNNNNNNNNNNNNNNNNNUGGAGGAGGUCCUGGAUGGUCCUCUAGUGGCCCCUCUGCCUUCUGCCACCACCCCCAGACCCUGCUCACAGGCAGGGAGACUGAGGGUCCCAGAAACUUCUCAUCCAGGCUGAGGUGGCCACAGGCCUCUCUGUGAGCAGAGAGGCGUCCACUCCGAGGACUACUCUGCACCCCUGGUCGUCUCCAGGCCUCCCUGCCCGGGGAAGGCCCUUCCUCACUCUGCAGGUGAGAACUUGUUAAAGUUCUCGAAGGCGCUUCAGACCCCGAGCUCCGCUGUCCCGCCCAGAACCCUCACUCUCUGCCCGCGUGCCCCCUGCCACCCCCCAAGUCAAGAGGAUCUCGACAGGCUUCCUGGCCCCCUUCUGCCCUAACACCCAGCUGCAGCCUGGACGGACAGAGUAGGCCAGAGAGGCCAGCGCAGGAAAAGGGCGCUGUCGAGGCGAAGAGAUUCCUGAAUGCGGCUCAGUUCUUGGAAGUCACUUUUUCCUUCCCUCUCCCCAGGCACCCGCCCUCUUCACGUCCUGCCAAACGUCUGUGCCUCGUGUAAACCCUGAGCCGUGGAGCCGCCUCCCAACACGGGCCUGCUGUUGACGUGGCCCCUGAGCCUGGCCACCGCCAGGAAGGCGAGAGAGCCCAUGCAGGGGGCAGCUGAAUUGCCUGGGCCCAGCCUCCAGCAGGCAUGUCUUUGGGGGUUUUCUGGGCCGGGGGAGCUGAAGAUGGAGCAGGGCAGAGCCCCUCGGUGGCAGCUGGGGCUCCCCUCUGUUGUCUGGCCCCAGGGGUGCACAGACCUUGCAGGGACUUCCACUCCAGAGCCUGCCCCUGGCAGGCCUGCCUACCCUCACCUCCUCCCUGCAGACGGGACACGCUGCCCUGGCACCCACCUGUGUAAGUGUGGGCAGAGGGUCUGACCCAGGUUGCUCAGAGUGUGUAGCAAGGCCAGGUGUCUGAUCCCAGGGCUUGCUUCCUCUCCAGCCAUGGCCUCUUGGGGGCUGAAAACAGACUCUGAAGGAGCAGGAACCCAGGAGAGUGUCCACAUCGGAGGAUACCUGAGCUGGAGAACCAGAGAACCCCUGGCUUGCCUGGUCCUCAGGGGAGGACUCGGAGGCCCAGAGAAGCUGGGGGACCCUGCCUCUCACAGCAGGUUGGUGGCAGGGCUGGGGCUCACCUGCCAUUGACUCCCGAACCCAGGAGACCUUGCACUUGGCCGGCCCCUCCCUCUGCUCCCUUCCUGACGCCGGGGGAAGGGAGAGAACUUCUCCAGAGCCUGGCCCUGAUCACCCCUGGAGAGAAAUGAAUUUCAAAAUGCAUUUCUGGAUGAAUCAUUGGGCCAGGAAACCUCGAAAACUGCCCACGUCUGCUGAAGGCUCUGUCCUGCUGACUCCUUUAUAGAAUCCUGGAAAGAACUCUCUGCUAAUGGUCCGUUUGGAACAAAUGCUGUGUGGCUACAACGCUGGGGCCACCCGACCCGUAGAGCCGCCCAGAAGGCUCCUGGUAACGAUGGCCAAGCCCCCGGGACUCAGCACCUUCCGCAGUCUCUCUUCAAGUCCGUUCUCUUCCCAGACAGUAACGAACCGGGUGACGGCCUUGACGUCACGAGGAGGCUCCAUCCUCACGGCAACCCCCUUGUGAAACGCCUAAAAUCUGCUAGGAGAGCGAGGCGGAGCUUCUCAAGGAGUCGCUCAGUGUGCUGGCUACACUGUUGCAGGUUUGUUGUUGGUCAGUCACCAAGUGAUGCUGGGCUCUUGGCGACCCCACGGACCUCAGCCC
ensembl:lncRNA